rnacentral:rRNA from 1 species
ACUCCUACGGGAGGCAGCAGUGAGGAAUAUUGGUCAAUGGACGAGAGUCUGAACCAGCCAAAUCGCGUGAAGGAAGACUGCCCUACGGGUUGUAAACUUCUUUUGUACAGGAAUAAAAGACAUUACGUGUAAUGUAUUGCAUGUACUGUACGAAUAAGCACCGGCUAACUCCGUGCCAGCAGCCGCGGUAAU